rnacentral:rRNA from 1 species
AUUGAACGCUGGCGGAAUGCUUUACACAUGCAAGUCGAGCGGCAGCGCGGGGGCAACCCUGGCGGCGAGCGGCGAACGGGUGAGUAACAUAUCGGAACGUACCCCGUCGUGGGGGAUAACACAGCGAAAGCUGUGCUAAUACCGCAUACGACCUGAGGGUGAAAGCGGGGGAUCGCAAGACCUCGCGCGAUGGGAGCGGCCGAUAUCGGAUUAGCUUGUUGGUGAGGUAAAGGCUCACCAAGGCGACGAUCCGUAGCUGGUCUGAGAGGACGACCAGCCACACUGGAACUGAGACACGGUCCAGACUCCUACGGGAGGCAGCAGUGGGGAAUUUUGGGACAAUGGGGGCAACCCUGAUCCAGCCAUUCCGCGUGAGUGAAGAAGGCCUCGGUUGUAAGCGUACUUUCUAGCAGGAACG